GUAAACGCUGGCGGCGUGCCUAAAACAUGCAAGUCGAACGGGCAGGCUCCUUCGGGAGGUUGUCAGUGGCGAACGGCUGAGUAACACGUGGGUGACCUACCCGGAAGUGGGGAACAACUGCCCGAAAGGGCGGCUAAUACCGCAUAGGUCCUGUUCUUCGGUGGGCAGGGCAAAGCUCCCCUGGGAGCGCUUCCAGAUGGGCCCGCGCCCGAUUAGCUAGCUGGUGAGGUAAUGGCUUACCAGGGCGACGAUCGGUAGCUGGUCUCAGAGGAUGAUCAGCCAGACUGGGACUGAGACACGGCCCAGACUCCUACGGGAGGCAGCAGUUAGGAAUUUUGGGCAAUGGGCGCAAGCCUGACCCAGCAACGCCGCGUGCGGGAAGAAGGCC
rnacentral:rRNA from 1 species